UACGUAGGGGGCAAGCGUUGUCCGGAAUUAUUGGGCGUAAAGAGCGCGUAGGCGGUCCGAUAAGUCGGCUGUGAAAGUCAGGGGCUCAACCCUUGGAAGCCGGCCGAUACUGUCGGACUAGAGUCCGGAAGAGGCGAGUGGAAUUCCCGGUGUAGCGGUGAAAUGCGCAGAUAUCGGGAAGAACACCCGUGGCGAAGGCGGCUCUCUGGGACGGUACUGACGCUGAGACGCGAAAGCGUGGGGAGCGAACAGG
rnacentral:rRNA from 1 species